rnacentral:rRNA from 1 species
UACGUAGGGGGCAAGCGUUGUCCGGAAUUAUUGGGCGUAAAGAGCUUGUAGGCGGUUUGUCGCGUCUGCUGUGAAAUUUCGGGGCUCAACCCCGAACUUGCAGUGGGUACGGGCAGACUAGAGUGUGGUAGGGGAGACUGGAAUUCCAGGUGUAGCGGUGAAAUGCGUAGAUAUCUGGAGGAACACCGGUGGCGAAGGCGGCAUCCUGGACCAUGACUGACGCUGAGGAGCGAAAGCCAGGGGAGCAAACGGG